rnacentral:tRNA from 333 species
GUGGGCGUAGCUCAGUUGGUAGAGCACGGGAUUGUGACUCCCGUUGUCGUGGGUUCGAUCCCCAUCGUCCACCCCA